AGUUUUUAUUUGCCUCCUACAGUGAAAAAAUAUUAUUUCACCCAAAAAUCUCUUUUUCCCCCAAAAAAAUACAUUUUCUCAGCCCAAAAUGUAAAUCGCGACUUUGCUUCCAGAUUUUGGCUUGAGUUCUUCUUAAAAUUUAAUUGUUCUUCAAUUCUCCUAGCUUUAAUUGUAGCUGAAAGUGGUAAAAGUACUUCUUCCAGGAAACAAAUCUUUACAAUUUAGAGUGUUUAAGGUCAAAAUUGAAAAUAGGAUUCUAUAUUUCUCUUGUUUAUUGAAGUUUUGAGCUUAUGAAAUCUGCAAUUUGAUGUGUUUUGUGGAUUUUUUAGUUGUUAAGAAUGGGAAUGUUGAUGGGAUUUCUAGUUUUUAAAAAUAGGAAUUUUGAUGGGUUUAUCUAGUUGUUAAGAAUGAAAUUUUGAUGGGUUUUAUGAAAUCUGCAAUUUUGAUGGGGUUUAUAUGAUUAGUUGUUAAGAGCUUCCCAUUACGUAUUUUAUCAUGCGACACAAACAUUCACAAAUUACUGCGUGAGGCUAUUCGUAAUAUGGAUGGUGCAUUGUGUAAAAUUUGAUUAGGAUGGGAGACAUGUUAAUUUUGGUAAUCGUAUUAUACGGUACUUGUAUGUUGAGCUGCAAGUUUGAGUUUUUCUUAUUGGAGAAGUUACGAUGAACUGGUGUUAGUUUAUUGAAUAGGGUGGGUGAUCCUUUGGCUAGGCCAGGAAUAGAGUUUAUGGCUAAGCAUAGACAAUUGACGUGCCCGAGAAGAGGGUCAUUCGGAAAUAACCUUUCUACCUCCACGAGGUAGAGGCAAAGUUUGUGUACACUCUACCUGGAAUUGUGGAAUUUCACUGAAAUGUUGUUGCUGAGCAUAGAGACAAGUAGUGUCACUGAUUGAGAAAAAUAGAGGCAAUUAAUGUCGAGAGAAUGGACGUAUGGAAGUUAUGUAGUAAACUUGAGCUUCUAGACAUGCUUGAAAAAUGUAUCUUUUGGUUUGAUGUUGUCUGUGAAAGUUUAUGCUUUUGUUUCAUUUGAACUUGGUGAAUAUCCGGUUACGAUAUUCAAUAACAUGCCCGGUGAGUCCUAAGAUAUGGGAAUAGGAGUCAGUGGAUUAUUUAGUUGUGUCAGGGGAAGUAUAUCUUUCGAGAACUUGUUGAAUUUAAUGUAAAGCCUAAAUUUUUUAUUUGUUCGAGUAAAGUUACGAGUGUAUCUAGAAUCUAGAACUUCUAGUUUUUAAAGUUAUUGAAUUUAUAACUAACAGUACAACUCAUGUUAUGCCAAACUUCUACCUAUGUGCAAAGUUCUUUAGGCUGUUUUGGCCCUUACAGAGGCUUAGCUCAAAGGUUUUGUCAUCUUCGUUACGUGUAAGAACCUGAACUAUACAUGUGUCUGCUAGUUGAUCAAUUCCUUUCGCCAAUGUUAUGCAUUUUAUGCUUCACACUAUAUGGUAAUUAAAUGAAAUCAUUCAAUUCUCUUUCUCUAAUAACUAACCGUUCAACUCAUAUUGUGCCCUUAAUAGCAACACUGAUCUUCUCCGGUUCCAAAUUACUGCUUUCUUAUCUGGUGACACCAGUUGGACAGGGCUUGUAAGGAGUCUGCAAGAAUGAGCUUAUGGAAAAUCAGAAGCAAAAAUGCAAGAAGUCAACACAAUCAUUGUUAGCGAGCCUGCGAGGACGACAAAUUGACAAUCAUAACAUAUCUUCCCAAGAUUUGGAUGAUCAACAAGAUGACCAUGUUGUGAAUAAGAAUAUGACAACUCCUACUCUCAAUGAUGACAAUUUAAUUUCUUCUUCAAACUCUAAUGAAGCUAGCUCAAAAGUGAAAGAGGAGUCGCUACUUGUCAAGAUUAAAGAUGCUUCGACCGGAGAAAUUAUAACUCAAAAGAUGCAAGUAAUUCGAGUUUGGAACUUAGAAAAAAAUAGAAAAUUCAUGGUGAAACUCAAUGGAGAUGGACAAGGAAGUGAUAAUGGUUCAAAUUUGCUUGUGAGAUUUCUUGGAAGAAUUUCUCAAAAGUCUGUAUUUUAUCCCAUAUCCGUUGUGAGAUGGGAUAGAAUGCCUAAAGAGAAAAAACAAGUAAUGUGGGAUCUUAUUGAGGAGCAUUUUGAGUUUGAUUAUGAAGUUGGAGUUAAUUGGGUGAUGCAAUCUUUACACGAUGGGUAAUGACAACUUCUAUCCCAACAAAAGUAAAGAAGAGCUACUUGAGAAAACUCCCAAAAAUGUUGAUUUUGUUGUUGAUUGGAUUGCUUUUGUGCAUCACUAGAAUGAGAAGAAGACGAAGAAACAAUGUGCACAAAAUGCAAAAAACAAAAAGAAACUUAAAGUCUCGCAUGCUGGUGGUAGCAAAAGCAAUGCAAGGAGAGGUCGUCAGAUGG